AGUACUCUGAAAGCCAUUAUCUGUAUCCCACUAGUAAUUACUUUUGGUUAUUAUAUGUAUCCAUCUUUUAAUAAGAGUUGCUUUUGAAAUCAGCUCCUCCCUUAGACCUAGUCUAGGAAUAAAGCCAUAAUGCCAAGUUUAUGAUAUCUUAGUGUGUUGCUAUGGAAGUGAUAUUAGCAAUAUUAGAAAUCCAGCAUUGUGGGCUGUGCAACAGUGGAAUGUGAUAGAAACUGAAAGCAUUGAUGUGACAGAAGAAGCAGCUUUCAUUUCAACAGAAAUAUCUUUGAUUCUUUGGAAAACCAUUGGAGAAAAUGAGUACAGUGUAUCAGAGGAAAAUGUCAAAUUGCUUCUAAGAGAGAAACAAAGCAAGCAGGGCUACGGUCUUCACUUUCCAUCAGGAAUACCUCUGGAAGACUGGCAAAAAGGAAGCGAUGACCACGCUGUCAGCUCUGCUGUAACUUACCAGUGAUGUGACACUGUCCAGAUGUUCUAAUUCUGCAGGUGCUUUUCUACAGUCAUAUGUCAAGAUGGACCUUCACUUUGGGAACCUUUUGAAAUAAGGAAUACAAAAUACAAUGGGGAAAACUGUGAAAACUACCUUUGAAGAACAUACAUACUUGAGUGAAAAAAAGGUUGGUGAUUCUGCACAGAAGUAUAACAUACUUUGUAAGACCACCAAGACCUUCAUAAUACUGCUUGAAGGUGAGCGUGCAUCUCUUGGCAACAGUCAGGGUGAGUGACAGAAAACACAAUGCAUUUCAGAGGGUAAGAUACAUCUGGAGUGCUGUCCAGUUCUGGUCUGCUCAGUAAAAGGGAGACAUGGACAUACCAGAGCUAGUUCCAUGAAGAUGGAGGUUCUCCCUGAUGCUUGACUGGCUCACUGCAGGCAGCCUGAGAAGUUAAGAAAUGUACUUUUGAUUUUUUUGUAACAUCAGUGAAAUGGAAUUAGCGGGAAUAGUUUUAACUUCACACUUUGCUGGAAGACAAAGGAAACAACAGCCACCAAUUGAAAGGAGCCCUGCUGCUCUUUAGGACACGUGAGAAUUAGCAGACAGAAGUGGAAGAAGCUUUUUUCUUUUCCUCUGACAGGACAAAUGGAUCAGAGACUGAAGCAGGGAAAGAACAGAAGAGGAAAUCUGAAUAUUAUGCAUCUUGACAAUGGACUCUUACAUAGUGAAACAACAUUUAGCAUUAUUAAAAUAUGAACAACAAGCUGUGUUGCCUUGAUGCGGAAGUGGAAACAAACAGCCAGAAAAUUCAGCACAGAAAUUAAGCUUUAAAAACUGAGAAGAGCCAGUCCAGUGCUUCUUUCUUUUGUGCUGUGGUGUUUUGGAUGCUCUGUUUUCCAUGAGGAAAAUGCUAUAAAAUAGAGGCCUCUUGUACUUCUGGGACAUCAGACUUCUGGGAUUCCUAUUAUUAGAAGCUCAGUGAAGCAUCAAAUUCCAAAAUAUUUCUCUAAUACAAAGGACUGACCUUCACCAAAUAUUUAAGAAACUGCACAGAGCCUGAUGUGCACCACACCGCAUGAUUCAAUGGGAAGGAAGCAUACCUCUAUAGGAGGUCAUCAAGAACCAAAGAUAAAGCAGCACUCUGAAAGGAACAACAGCAGGACGUUGCUCAAAAUAUUAUCAAAGAAAGAAAACUGUUUUCUUAAAGGGCAGCACUCUCCUUUGCAGAGAUAGUAUAUUUGCAUUGUAACACUUUCAGAAUGUGUGUGGUUUACAAUUGGGUGUCAUGGCACUGGGAUAAAAUGCCAUGCACAAGAAGAGUUCUUAUAAUCUAUUGUAUGUUUUUAGGACCUGCCUGAAUACCUGCCUGCCACAAUGAAGAAUCCAAGCAGUUUAAAGAGAACAAGUUCUCGAGCAUCCUCACCUAAAUAAAAAGUAUCCCUUCAAAGAGAUGGACACAGAUAAGUAUGAGAAGUACUUGUUGCAACUUGGACUACAGAUGUUGUAUAGAAUGGAUGUGGCAACAGCACAUUACAGAAAAUACCUAUUUUCAGCCUCUUUUUCUUGAGAAUGUAUACCUGAAGGGAGCAUUUAGGCUCUUGUGUGUAAAGGUCAGCAGCAAUAUUUUAAAAGAUACAAGACCAAUAUUUUUCUGUACAACUUUGUGAUUUAUGGUAGAAUAGCAGUGCUUUUGCUAAGUUCCAUCCAAUCUGCCUGAAUUCCUCAAGUCCUACUUGAGCAAGAGUAUAAUAGGUUAAAUAAUGUCUCUCAUAACAAACAUCUAGUAUGUGUUUGUCUUCCUUUUGUGCUUCUCAUGCAAUUAUACAGAACUUGAGAUACCUGUAGUCUCCCAAUGCUACAUCAAAGUCUUCUGCUUUAAUAUUGCAGCAGUUACUUCAGAUAAAUACCAAUAUUUUUGAACAAAGACAUGAGUGACAAAGAAGAGGACAGCAGAAUUGACAGGAACAGCACAACCUUCCCCAUGGUGGAUUUUGUAAUCUUAUGUGACAACUAAAUCAAGGUUUCAAGAGAAAUGGAAGAACUAUUUCUCAAGUUAAUAAGGUUAAUUGGCACUAAAAGAAAUGAUCAUCAAGCUUGGAAUGUCAUAACAGGGAUGUCCUCAGACUGUGAAGAACCUGUCCAAGGGAAGGAGCUAGAUACCAGGCACAGAAUCCAAAAAUAUUCCUGGAUAAAGCAUGUCUUCCAGAAAAGUAUCAGGUAUACUUCACAGAAAUGAAUAUUCAGUUGUUGACAUCUCCAAAGUUUGCUGGCGAUGCAUCUAGCAAGAAGUUAGAACUGAAGGUGACAUCUGCUACCAUUUGAAAUAUCCUGCACAUUUUACAAAUUUGGUGAGACUUUCAGUCUUGUUAAGGAAGCUUUCCAGUACGUACUGCUUCAUUUCCAGUGAUAUAAAGCUGUUAUAUUGACCUGGAUCUGGUUAUGUGAUGAGAGUGCAAAGGCCCUGUGUAAAGGAAACCUGGAUGUGAAAAGAGUAAUGUUGAUGUGGGCCCAUACUAGGUAUUUGGAAAGUGUACAAGAAGUUCUCUGAAACUGACGAAAGAGAAAAUCUAAAAGGAAGAUCUUUGAAAAAGAAGAAUGUAUUUCCUAGCUAACACAGAGCUGAGUUUGUUCUGUUCUUGUAAAGCUGAUAUACUGUUUGUUGUAAAAGAUGAUCUAAAAAAAGGCAACUUUUGUUCAUCCAACUUCCUGCAAAUGACAUGUUCCUGCGCCAUAUUUAGGUCCAAAUUACUGUGGAUUUUUGUGAAAGGAAGAAUGAGAAAAUAUUUUUCCUGACAUCAGUGCUUUAUGAUUACUGAGCUAUUUAGAAAUAUUUGACAUUGUACUGAUUUUCUGUCUCAAAAUAAACUUUUCUGAUUACACUUACAUUUCAGUGAUUUCUUUUGUGAAUCUGCAGCUUGUGAGGUAACUGGUAAAAAGUCUGAUCUAUCAGCAUUUUUGUUUGCUUUCUUGAGUUUAUAAUAGCACAGCAACAAUGAAGCAGCAAUCAUCCAGCAUCCAGCUAGUCAAACAUAAUAAAGAUUUGAAAGUGGAAAUAAUUCAUGGCCUUAGCAUUACUCAUUUAAGUUCUAUACGACUUUUACUGGAGCAAUAGUUUUGCUUUGAAAUUUGAAGUUUAAAAAAAGUUUGGAAGUUUCAAACUUUAAUUCUAAGAGAUUAAAGUUUGAAAACAAACUUUAGAAUUCUGGAAUAGAAAUGACACAAUUUUCUAAAUGCCAAAGAUUUUUAGGUGCAUUCACCCAAAAGACUUCAUAUCAUUUAGUUCAUUUCACUGCUAUUAAUCUUCUGAUUUAAGGUGAUGGUAAUUUAAGUGUACUAUGACUGGAAAAUCUCCACCAGAUUAAAAAAAAAAAAAAAAAGAGGUUUUCUGAUUUAUAAUAAUUACGAUUUUAAUAAAUGUUUGCAGUAUAUUUCUUAAGUAAUAUUUUUUUCUGGCUCCAUGAAAUAUUGCUAAACACU